GGUCAAAUCACGCUGAAAACACCGGUUCUCGUUCGAUCACCGAAGAAGCAUCGGGGGUCAGUACUUAGAUGGGGGGACCGCUUGGGAACACCUGGUACUGUAAG